rnacentral:rRNA from 1 species
AUACGGAGGGGGCUAGCGUUGUUCGGAAUCACUGGGCGUAAAGCGCGCGUAGGCGGAUUGGUCAGUUGGGGGUGAAAUCCCGAGGCUCAACCUCGGAACUGCCUCCAAAACUGCCAGUCUCGAGUCCGGGAGAGGUGAGUGGAAUUCCGAGUGUAGAGGUGAAAUUCGUAGAUAUUCGGAGGAACACCAGUGGCGAAGGCGACUCACUGGCCCGGUACUGACGCUGAGGUGCGAAAGCGUGGGGAGCAAACAGGAUUAGAAACCCCAGUAGUCC